rnacentral:rRNA from 1 species
UACGUAGGGGGCAAGCGUUGUCCGGAAUCACUGGGCGUAAAGCGCGCGCAGGCGGUCAUCUACGUCUGGGGUGAAAGCCCGGAGCUCAACUCCGGGAUUGCCUUGGAUACGGGAUGACUUGAGGAUCGGAGAGGCAAAGGGAAUUCCACGUGUAGCGGUGAAAUGCGUAGAGAUGUGGAGGAACACCUGUGGCGAAGGCGCCUUGCUGGCCGAUUUCUGACGCUGAGGCGCGAAAGCGUGGGGAGCAAACAGG